GAAACCCUAAGGUUUCUGUUUGUGAUUUUGUUUUGGGCUUAGAUGAUUAGGACCACGGUUAAGUGUUAGGUUAAUUGGGUUGGGGAUAUUGGGCUAGGCUAGUGUUUAGGUUAAACACGAUUUGGUCCAUGUUGGGCGUAUGAUUUGGACUGUGGAUAUUUAAUUAUUUUUUCUUGUUUUUUUUCUGCUUAUUCUGAAUAGGCCCCGGGCAAAUUGGGCUAUUACAGUUGCCCCUCUUUGCUCGUUGUCGUAUAACGGGAACGGAGCAAAGACUAAAAAUGGUCAAUUUGCCCGGUCGUGCUGGACUUUGGUAAUUUCAUUCCAACCUACUGUUUCUUCAGAGGUAUAGG
rnacentral:lncRNA from 1 species